ACCAAGUCCUACUAAGGUAGUACUAAAAAAGAAAACCCAUAAGGUUUGGCGGUUAUAACCUCUUAGAGAAACUCGCUUCCUAAUCGUAAACACCCGAUAAUUUUCACUUAAUCAUCAAAGCCUUUAUACCGCCGUUACAGAAUUAACCCCAACAUUAACUUCCACACUAUAACAAUCACAAAAUCAGGUCAAGGUGAAGCCAUUAAUUAAGAAGAAGUAAGUUACAUUAACUUAAAAGUUAAGGAAUACAGUAUAAAUACACUAAGAAAGAGAAUCUAAAAGCACACAGAUAUUAAAAAUACCUAUAGAAACUAACAGUUUUAACGC
rnacentral:rRNA from 1 species